GGUAGAGCAUAAUACUGUUAAUAUUGUGGUUAGAUGUUCGAUUCAUCUUAAGGGCU
rnacentral:tRNA from 1 species